rnacentral:sRNA from 1 species
AGGACGUUAGCUGUGAUGGGGUAUUUCCCCAGGGGUGGCAGGCGUGCUGAGGUCGACUAGAAGUGUUACACAUGGGACGGGAUUGGACUUUUUGCGGGAGGGAAUGGGCGCCGUCGAGGGAAGAGAGAUAUCCCACCUCGUUUAAAAAUUUGCUCUUGGUUGUUCGUCAUUGGUUAGAGUCGGGAAAGGAUGCAUGACUGUAUCUGACUAAUAUCAAAUCGAAAUUUGUGAUUUGUGCCUGGGGCAGGAUAUCUGAAUCAUGGUGUAUUAGAUCGGCUUCCAUUUGAUAUUCUCUCAUUAUGCUGCUGAGAUCGAAAAGUGUUAGGGUUACAGGGGAGUCCAAAAGCAGAGGAGCAACGUUGUCACAAAUCUGGGUUUUAUUCCUCCACCAUGUAUAGCUUUUACGUGGACACUAUGAGCGGAUGGCGUCCCAUGUCACGGGCAAGAGAAGCUAGCACAACUCUUUCCCCGCAUUAUUUUCGCGGAUAGGUUUCGGUGUUACAAUAUCAACUGGGUGCUCUUGUGAGUGAGCCCGCUUUAUUUCCUUGCCGGUUGCGCAUCAUUACCUUUUUGAGGAACUCCCUCACGGAGCAGCCGCACUUGCGCGUUGUUUUUGCUUCUUUGGGUCUGGCGGGCCCAUGGUGAGCUUUCGAAGAUUAAGAAGUCUCGGAUAGGAUCUAUAUAAUUAGUUCGACAAAGCUUGG